rnacentral:rRNA from 1 species
AGUGAACGCUGGCGGCAGGCCUAAUACAUGCAAGUCGAACGGCAGCACAGCAGAGCUUGCUCUGUGGGUGGCGAGUGGCGGACGGGUGAGGAAUACGUGGGAAUCUGCCCAGUCGUGGGGGAUAACGUAGGGAAACUUACGCUAAUACCGCAUGCGCCCUUCGGGGGAAAGCCGGGGACCUUCGGGCCUGGCGCGAUUGGAUGAGCCCACGUCGGAUUAGCUAGUUGGCGGGGUAAAGGCCCACCAAGGCGACGAUCCGUAGCUGGUCUGAGAGGAUGAUCAGCCACACUGGAACUGAGACACGGUCCAGACUCCUACGGGAGGCAGCAGUAGGGAAUAUUGGACAAUGGGCGCAAGCCUGAUCCAGCCAUGCCGCGUGAGUGAAGAAGGCCCUCGGGUUGUAAAGCUCUUUUGUCCGGAAAGAAAGCGCCGGGUUAAUACCCUGGUGUCCUGACGGUACCGGAAGAAUAAGCACCGGCUAACUUCGUGCCAGCAGCCGCGGUAAU